rnacentral:rRNA from 1 species
UACAGAGGUGGCAAGCGUUUGUUCGGAAUUACUGGGCGUAAAGGGCGCGUAGGCGGCGCAACAAGUCACUUGUGAAAUCUCCGGGCUUAACCCGGAGCGGUCAAGUGAUACUGUCGUGCUAGAGUGCGGAAGGGGCUACUGGAAUUCUCGGUGUAGCGGUGAAAUGCGUAGAUAUCGAGAGGAACACCUGCGGCGAAGGCGGGUAGCUGGGCCGACACUGACGCUGAUGCGCGAAAGCCAGGGGAGCGAACGGGG